UCACUCUCAUUGCGUGAUCACUUUGCAAGGCUGCCCAAUGUAUGGACCUUUUUCUGUGUGUUUGAAGAGUCCAUCUGCCUUUUACUGCCUGAGGAAAAGACAGAAAAUGUUUCUCUUCUAAGUACUGAAAAUGCCAGACACCUGUUUUCCCUGCCUUCACUUGGGAUGCAGUUUAAGGUAACAAUAACAGAGCAGGACACUGGAAUAAAUGAUCAACAGCAACAUUUUAUAAAGGAAGAAAUAGUUUCUUGAAGGAGGUAAUCCCAUCAGGCCUUUUAGUAUAAAGAGAGUGUUUCUCUGCUGUGAUAGAAACUGCUGAAGUAGCAUUCUCCCAUAUUACAGAUGAAGAAGAUGAGAUCCAAAGAGAUGAACAACCUACCAACAUGCCCAGAACUAGAAAACACAACAACAAAUGCUGAUAACAGCUUUUCUUUUGUAUCAUGCUUCCUUGAGUAAAAAAAAUCCUCUAAGCCUUAAAUCACUAAAAUGAUCAUUAAAUCACUUGCUCUAUAAAAACAUAACUAUUCUCAAAACUUUACUUAUACAUAAAUAUGAUUUUAAAUUAAAGAUAAGUGAUAAUCAAACAGAUUCCUUUUUAUCCCACUAUGGAUGCAUAUCCCUAAUUGUUUAAAUUUCUUUGAUUUUACCUUUUGCUAUAUGCCUUUUCUGAUAUUUGGACCUUUCUCAGGUUUUCUUCACAAUAACCUUGUUCCAAACACAGCACAAUAACCUUUACCAC
rnacentral:lncRNA from 1 species